GGGGAAUUAGCUCAGCUGGUAGAGCAUAACAUUUGCAAUGUUAGGGUCAGGGAUUCGAAUUCCCUAUUCUCCA
rnacentral:tRNA from 1 species